AUUGAACGCUGGCGGCAGGCCUAACACAUGCAAGUCGAGCGAGCGGCGGACGGGUGAGUAAUGUAUGGGGACUGCCCGAUAGAGGGGGAUAACUACUGGAAACGGUGGCUAAUACCGCAUACUAUCGGAUAACCCAUAUGGGAUUAGCUAGUAGGUGGGGUAAAGGCUCACCUAGGCGACGAUCUCUAGCUGGUCUGAGAGGAUGAUAAGUCACACGUGGGCUAAGACUCGGACUAGACUCCUACGGAGGCAGCAUUGGGGAAUAUUGCACAAUGGGCGCAAGUCUGAUUCAUGCAUGCUGCGUGUAUGAAGAAGGCUUUAGAGUCGUAAAGUCCCUUCGGCGGGGAGGCGUUACCCGCAGAAGAAGCCAUGGAUAACUCCGUGCCAGCAGCCGCGGUAAUAC
rnacentral:rRNA from 1 species